GGAAGGUCUACAGCAAUGCUGUUCAAAGUACAGAAAGAAGAAGCACGUCAAAAUAAAUGGAGCCUCACACUCGGAAUCUCUCAGGGUGGCUAAAAUAAAGUUCAGUAUACCCACUGAAAAAGACAUAUAUGCUGGAUGACACUGGAACAGAGGUAGAUGAAGAGGUCUUCAGUGACAUUCUCGAGGAAAAAACGGACAUUGUGUGGACAAUUGUCGACACCCUUUCAGUCACUGUCGGGUCGAAACCUAUAAGAGCACUCUGGUCCAGCCCAGCGGAGGCAGCCCUACAUCCUGGCAGUUGGCAUCACAAGAAAAAAACAUCCAUGAUUACUACAUUGCGAUGGAUGGUGAGCUCCUUCCCUGCAAGGCCAGGUCUUCCCUGUCAGCCUUUGAUGAACUGUUCAAGACACAUUAUGUGUACAGCCUGUACACAUUUGUGCAAAGUUUUGCAGAGCAUUUUCAUUCUUUUCAUGUCAGACAGGGAAAUUCUGAAAAUGUUUCCAUGCUGAAAAUUGAUGAGUUGCUCCUGUUUAAGCCGUUUGAUCUGCAAACAAUGUAUAGUUUUGAAGGAGAUGAUCAGUAUGUGGUGCCCGUGCAUGUUUUUGUAUAAGAAAUGUGUUAGGAUAUAAUAAAGAUGUUAUAUUUUCAAGAAA